CAGUCGCCGCGGGAAUACGAAGGGUGCAAGCGUUACUCGGAAUUACUGGGCGUAAAGCGUGCGUAGGUGGUGGUUUAAGUCCGUUGUGAAAGCCCUGGGCUCAACCUGGGAAUGGCAGUGGAUACUGGCUCGCUAGAGUGUGUCAGAGGAUGGUGGAAUUCCCGGUGUAGCGGUGAAAUGCGUAGAGAUCGGGAGGAACAUCAGUGGCGAAGGCGGCCAUCUGGGACAACACUGACGCUGAGGCACGAAAGCGUGGGGAGCAAACAGGAUUAGAUACCCCAGUAGUCCCUGUCUCUUAUAC
rnacentral:rRNA from 1 species